rnacentral:tRNA from 1 species
UGUGUGGUAGCUCAGUGGUAGAGAACUUGCUAGUAUAACUGAGGCCCUGGGUUCAAUCCCCAGCACCACAA